rnacentral:lncRNA from 1 species
AAGCCAAUUAAAUAGAAAUUGAGUGUCAAUUUGUAGGUAAGUUAAUGGAAGAGUGUCCUCCCUCCAUAGCCACCUUUCAACGAAAAUAGUCAUGUAGAGCCUAUACCUGAGUCCUUUGCGGAAGAGUUUUGAAAUAUGCCACACCCCCUUUGAAUCAGCUUUUGUUUUGUCGGAAGACAAACGGUCAGUUGUUGAAGAGGUUGAGGUGUAAUACGGCAGAGAAUACAUGAUGCCACAAUGACAUUUCAAUUUUGUUUACCAAACUUCUUCCAACCAAUUUCCCCCUGGGGUCCCAAGAAGCUUGGGUUGGACGGACCUGAGAUGAGCUGUUUUGGAAUAAGCUGAAGGACCCACGCUACAUAAGUAGGACCUACAACUCCUUGACAGUACCAAAUGUGAUGGAAAAAAAUAUUCCCAUCCCCCUCUAUCAUGCUUGAUAGACAUUCCCAGUCUUCAAGUUGAAGGUGAGGGAUUUCAACAGUAGGUCACAAUCUGAUUACACCUACAAAACAUAUCUAAUACAGAUACACUGCUCUCAUAACUACUAUCACCACCCUCUCUCUUGUCUCUGCUCUCAUAACUACUAUCACCACCCUCUCUCCUGUCUCUGCUCUCAUAACUACUAUCACCACCCUCUCUCCUGUCUCUGCUCUCAUAACUACUAUCACCACCCUCUCUCCUGUCUCUGCUCUCAUAACUACUAUCACCACCCUCUCUCCUGUCUCUGCUCUCAUAACUACUAUCACCACCCUCUCUCUUGUCUCUGCUCUCAUAACUACUAUCACCACCCUCUCUCCUGUCUCUGCUCUCAUAACUACUAUCACCACCCUCUCUCCUGUCUCUGCUCUCAUAACUACUAUCACCACCCCUCUCUCCUGUCUCUGCUCUCAUAACUACUAUCACCACCCUCUCUCCUGUCUCUGCUCUCAUAACUACUAUCACCACCCUCUCUCCUGUCUCUGCUCUCAUAACUACUAUCACCACCCUCUCUCCUGUCUCUGCUCUCAUAACUACUAUCACCACCCUCUCUCCUGUCUUUUUUUGUCUCUGCUCUCAAAACUACUAUCACCCCCAGCACCACCCUCUGUCCUGUCUCUGCUUGCUCUGAUAGGGUCUGCCGUAAUUAUGGGGAGAAGUACGCCCUGCAGGACUUUACUGCCUGGGGCUCUACCUCUCAGCCGGUGGUCCAGUGGAACCGCACAAACCUAGGGACCUUCAAUGGGGAGGGGGGAGUCUGGAGGGUAGAAUGUGGGUGUUAAGGGAUCUCACCCAGGCACACUCGGGCCACUAUGCCCUCCAAGGCACUGACAGGAGGUUGAUAUCUACAACGAUGCUUAAUGUCACAGCUGAGGGAAGAUUCUGCCUACAACUUUCACUUUUAUCUUGUUUGUCAUUUCCCCUCACCCCAAAUAAUUUAACAUUAUUUUUAUUAUAUCACUCGCUAAUGCAAUGCGUGUGAAUGUCUCUCUCAGCACGUAGUACUCUAGGUCUUUCGGUUACUGUGUUCAUUGUCAUCAUUGCUGAGGUGGCUGCAUGCUGCUGUGUGAAGAAGUGUUGCUGCAAGACUGAGACCCCCAAACUAGACGGCUCUGUUCCUAUGCCAGGACAGCCGAUGGUGUAAAUACUACUACAACAAACCAACAUGUGUAUCAAGGUCUAACAGGAGGAUGUUAACUCCCACAAUAUAUUUUGGGGAAUAUUUAACUUUGUGUAUGGUUUUCAGGAUAACUGUGAACCUUCUGCACCAAUUUUCCGUAGCCACCCCAGGAAACCAGCUUUACCUGUAGGUGUAUUCUCUCCUCUUUUAUUUUGCCCUCUGCCUAUUCCUUUAUUUAUUUACUAAUUUCAAAAUCUCUCACACUAUCUCUACCCCCUGAGCCAAACAGUCUCGUUGUGGACAGUGAGCCGAAUCCCUCCAAUGAGACGAGUUUUCUGAAUCCACUGCUGUACAAUCUUGUUGUGGACAGUGAGUCUAAUCCAGCCAAUGGCAAUGAGACUACACAUGUGACUUCCCCUCAAAUCCCCCCUAUGAUAAUUCUUUGAUAUUUUCGACCCGGUGAUUUGUAUGUGUUUGUCUAAUUGGUACAAUGUGAGGAAGUCCUUAUUACUGUUCGCCUGGCAACCCAGAAUCGUUACUCUGGCCAAAAUCUACACCACUCCCACAGAUGUUAGUUUCUUCUCCACAAUAAAUCCGGAUCGGAGUACUUCCCCAACCCUUCACUGGAUGUGAACACAUUCGUGGCCGUCUGUUUGGGCCAGAGUCUGAACACACGUCGGUAAAGUGGUGGUUUGAAAAUUCGUCAUUGACUUUGAUACUCUGAUUGUUAGCGACGAUCCAAUCGCUGAUGACUUUAUUUUGUACAAUGCCCCUUGUGCCCCUCUUCACCACAAACAACUUCAAUGAUGGCAGUCUCAGACAGUAUGUAGCAAACGAUAGUGCAGCAGAAGAAGUGUGUCAGGCUAUAUUACCAAAGACUUUUUUAUAACUAACCCAAGAUAGAUCAGAACCUGUCGUUUGCAAUGGGAGCAAAUUAAUCAUAGUGGGCAGAACAAGCAUGGAGGUGGGCAGAGCCAAGCACAAGCUAGUGAGAUCCUAUUUGCGCGUUCCAGCAUUUUGCAUAUUUCCGUUAGGGAACUCCUACCCUUGCACUCUAAAACAAUGCAAAUCAAAAAAAUGCAGUCCACUCGGUGUGUUACAUAUUCUCGUUUUGGAAACAACUGUAUGGAGAUCAAAUGUUUCAUUGAUGAGGAAAUUAGCGGCCAAAAUGUCGGCCAAAAUCCAUCUCGCUCCAUCUUCUCCCACUGCCGGCCACUGUGUUUUCUCUCAUCACCAUAUUUGGUAGUGAGUGGAAACGCCAACCGGACGCUUCACAUUUAUACAUCUGGUGAAACAUCAGGCUCAUUGUUCUAUCCAUGAUAUUACUGUAUAGUUGUCAAUGUAUUGGUUCACUCUGAAAUGUUUUGGAGCACCAGCUUGUGCUAGCUGAUGUUUUGAAUAUGAAUACUGAUUUCUCAACUGAUGAACUUUGUAAUAUAAUAAACUACAAUAUAAAAAAACAUUGAUCAACAUCUCUCAUUGACUAUCACUGAAUGAUUGUAGUUCCCGCAGAACCUGUUUUGAAAUGUUCCAGGAGUUAUUUACAUUUACAUUUA